rnacentral:rRNA from 1 species
CGCAGCGGGAGCUACACAUGCAGCCGAGCGGUAGAGAUUCUUCGGAAUCUUGAGAGCGGCGCACGGGUGCGGAACACGUGUGCAACCUGCCUUUAUCAGGGGAAUAGCCUUUCGAAAGGAAGAUUAAUGCCCCAUAAUAUAUUUUCUGGCAUCAGAAGAUAUUGAAAACUCCGGUGGAUAAAGAUGGGCACGCGCAGGAUUAGAUAGUUGGUAGGGUAACGGCCUACCAAGUCAACGAUCCUUAGGGGGCCUGAGAGGGUGAUCCCCCACACUGGUACUGAGACACGGACCAGACUCCUACGGGAGGCAGCAGUGAGGAAUAUUGGACAAUGGGUGAGAGCCUGAUCCAGCCAUCCCGCGUGAAGGACGACGGCCCUAUGGGUUGUAAACUUCUUUUGUACAGGGAUAAACCUUUCCACGUGUGGGAAGCUGAAGGUACUGUACGAAUAAGCACCGGCUAACUCCGUGCCAGCAGGGGGG